UAAGUUAUUAAGGGCGCACGGUGGAUGCCUUGGCACUAGAAGCCGAUGAAGGACGUUACUAACGACGAUAUGCUUUGGGGAGCUGUAAGUAAGCUUUGAUCCAGAGAUUUCCGAAUGGGGAAACCCAGCAUGAGUUAUGUCAUGUUAUCGAUAUGUGAAUACAUAGCAUAUCAGAAGGCACACCCGGAGAACUGAAACAUCUUAGUACCCGGAGGAAGAGAAAGAAAAUUCGAUUCCCUUAGUAGCGGCGAGCGAAACGGGAAGAGCCCAAACCAACAAGCUUGCUUGUUGGGGUUGUAGGACACUCUAUACGGAGUUACAAAGGACGACAUUAGACGAAUCAUCUGGAAAGAUGAAUCAAAGAAGGUAAUAAUCCUGUAGUCGAAAAUGUUGUCUCUCUUGAGUGGAUCCUGAGUACGACGGAGCACGUGAAAUUCCGUCGGAAUCUGGGAGGACCAUCUCCUAAGGCUAAAUACUCUCUAGUGACCGAUAGCGAACCAGUACCGUGAGGGAAAGGUGAAAAGCACCCCGGAAGGGGAGUGAAAUAGAACCUGAAACCGUGUGCUUACAAGUAGUCAGAGCCCGUUAAUGGGUGAUGGCGUGCCUUUUGUAGAAUGAACCGGCGAGUUACGAUUUGAUGCAAGGUUAAGCAGUAAAUGUGGAGCCGUAGCGAAAGCGAGUCUGAAUAGGGCGUUUAGUAUUUGGUCGUAGACCCGAAACCAGGUGAUCUACCCUUGGUCAGGUUGAAGUUCAGGUAACACUGAAUGGAGGACCGAACCGACUUACGUUGAAAAGUGAGCGGAUGAACUGAGGGUAGCGGAGAAAUUCCAAUCGAACCUGGAGAUAGCUGGUUCUCUCCGAAAUAGCUUUAGGGCUAGCCUCAAGUGAUGAUUAUUGGAGGUAGAGCACUGUUUGGACGAGGGGCCCCUCUCGGGUUACCGAAUUCAGACAAACUCCGAAUGCCAAUUAAUUUAACUUGGGAGUCAGAACAUGGGUGAUAAGGUCCGUGUUCGAAAGGGAAACAGCCCAGACCACCAGCUAAGGUCCCAAAAUAUAUGUUAAGUGGAAAAGGAUGUGGCGUUGCCCAGACAACUAGGAUGUUGGCUUAGAAGCAGCCAUCAUUUAAAGAGUGCGUAAUAGCUCACUAGUCGAGUGACACUGCGCCGAAAAUGUACCGGGGCUAAACAUAUUACCGAAGCUGUGGAUUGUCCUUUGGACAAUGGUAGGAGAGCGUUCUAAGGGCGUUGAAGCAUGAUCGUAAGGACAUGUGGAGCGCUUAGAAGUGAGAAUGCCGGUGUGAGUAGCGAAAGACGGGUGAGAAUCCCGUCCACCGAUUGACUAAGGUUUCCAGAGGAAGGCUCGUCCGCUCUGGGUUAGUCGGGUCCUAAGCUGAGGCCGACAGGCGUAGGCGAUGGAUAACAGGUUGAUAUUCCUGUACCACCUAUAAUCGUUUUAAUCGAUGGGGGGACGCAGUAGGAUAGGCGAAGCGUGCGAUUGGAUUGCACGUCUAAGCAGUAAGGCUGAGUAUUUGGCAAAUCCGGUACUCAUUAAGGCUGAGCUGUGAUGGGGAGAAGACAUUGUGUCUUCGAGUCGUUGAUUUCACACUGCCGAGAAAAGCCUCUAGAUAGGAAAUAGGUGCCCGUACCGCAAACCGACACAGGUAGUCAAGAUGAGAAUUCUAAGGUGAGCGAGCGAACUCUCGUUAAGGAACUCGGCAAAAUGACCCCGUAACUUCGGGAGAAGGGGUGCUCUUUAGGGUUAACGCCCAGAAGAGCCGCAGUGAAUAGGCCCAAGCGACUGUUUAUCAAAAACACAGGUCUCUGCUAAACCGUAAGGUGAUGUAUAGGGGCUGACGCCUGCCCGGUGCUGGAAGGUUAAGAGGAGUGGUUAGCUUCUGCGAAGCUACGAAUCGAAGCCCCAGUAAACGGCGGCCGUAACUAUAACGGUCCUAAGGUAGCGAAAUUCCUUGUCGGGUAAGUUCCGACCCGCACGAAAGGCGUAACGAUUUGGGCACUGUCUCAACGAGAGACUCGGUGAAAUCAUAGUACCUGUGAAGAUGCAGGUUACCCGCGACAGGACGGAAAGACCCCGUGGAGCUUUACUGUAGCCUGAUAUUGAAAUUCGGCACAGCUUGUACAGGAUAGGUAGGAGCCUUUGAAACGUGAGCGCUAGCUUACGUGGAGGCGCUGGUGGGAUACUACCCUAGCUGUGUUGGCUUUCUAACCCGCACCACUUAUCGUGGUGGGAGACAGUGUCAGGCGGGCAGUUUGACUGGGGCGGUCGCCUCCUAAAAGGUAACGGAGGCGCUCAAAGGUUCCCUCAGAAUGGUUGGAAAUCAUUCAUAGAGUGUAAAGGCAUAAGGGAGCUUGACUGCGAGACCUACAAGUCGAGCAGGGUCGAAAGACGGACUUAGUGAUCCGGUGGUUCCGCAUGGAAGGGCCAUCGCUCAACGGAUAAAAGCUACCCCGGGGAUAACAGGCUUAUCUCCCCCAAGAGUUCACAUCGACGGGGAGGUUUGGCACCUCGAUGUCGGCUCAUCGCAUCCUGGGGCUGUAGUCGGUCCCAAGGGUUGGGCUGUUCGCCCAUUAAAGCGGUACGCGAGCUGGGUUCAGAACGUCGUGAGACAGUUCGGUCCCUAUCCGUCGUGGGCGUAGGAAAUUUGAGAGGAGCUGUCCUUAGUACGAGAGGACCGGGAUGGACAUACCUCUGGUGUACCAGUUGUCGUGCCAACGGCAUAGCUGGGUAGCUAUGUGUGGACGGGAUAAGUGCUGAAAGCAUCUAAGCAUGAAGCCCCCCUCAAGAUGAGAUUUCCCAACUUCGGUUAUAAGAUCCCUCAAAGAUGAUGAGGUUAAUAGGUUCGAGGUGGAAGCAUGGUGACAUGUGGAGCUGACGAAUACUAAUCGAUCGAAGACUUAAUCA
rnacentral:rRNA from 1 species